UGGGGAAUAUUGGACAAUGGGCGAAAGCCUGAUCCAGCCAUGCCGCGUGAGUGAUGAAGGCCCUAGGGUUGUAAAGCUCUUUCACCGGUGAAGAUAAUGACGGUAACCGGAGAAGAAGCCCCGGCUAACUUCGUGCCAGCAGCCGCGGUAAUACGAAGGGGGCUAGCGUUGUUCGGAAUUACUGGGCGUAAAGCGCACGUAGGCGGACUAUUAAGUCAGGGGUGAAAUCCCGGGGCUCAACCCCGGAACUGCCUUUGAUACUGGUAGUCUUGAGUUCGAGAGAGGUGAGUGGAAUUCCGAGUGUAGAGGUGAAAUUCGUAGAUAUUCGGAGGAACACCAGUGGCGAAGGCGGCUCACUGGCUCGAUACUGACGCUGAGGUGCGAAAGCGUGGGGAGCAAACAGG
rnacentral:rRNA from 1 species